GGGAGGGCGAGCUGGCUGCCACAUGUGUCACCCCACCGACCGCCAGGGUUGACUCUGCUAAUCUGGCUGGCUAGGGGGUGACCCCUUCCUCCCCAGCGCCCCAUGCGCUCUCCUGAAGCUGCAGAGCUGCUUGUUCUUUGAAGAGCACGGCCGUCCCAAACAGAGGAGGCCUGGUCUGUGGUCAAGGGUGUAAGCGAACUGCGCCUCCCUGCUGGAACCGCCCAGCAAGCGCUCAAGGACAGAGUUGGCUCUAAACUCUAGUGAAUGUCUUCUGGAAGACACAUGUUGACA
rnacentral:snRNA from 1 species